rnacentral:rRNA from 1 species
GAAGAGAGAGUUAAAGAGCACGUGAAAUCGGUAAGGUGGAAACGGAUAGAGUUGACGUAUAUGGCUUGUAUUCAGCCGUUGGGAUUAUGCGUAACAAUGGGUUGUUUUGCGUUAGCCGGUAUAAUAUACAGUAUUUUCGAAUAGUGUUUAUAUUGGGCUGGUUUAGCGCGCAGUCCAUUUGUGUUUACGUUUUUUAGCGGUGCAUUUACAAGUCAAUGUGCGCUGGGACAUGCGCGUUUCGGUCGUCGAAGAAGUUUGGUGCAAGAGGUUACUUUUUUGAUAUUUUUAAAUUUAUUUAAAAAUAUCAGGGUAAAACCGUGCUCCUUUCGGAGGCGAUUCGUCGUGCAUGAUAAAUAUUAUUGAAUGUCUUUGUACAUUUUAAAGGAUGGCAUUUUUUUAAUUAAAAAUGCGAAUGUUUAAAUUUAAUUGUAUUUGUUGAUUAUAUGAGUCGCGUGCGACGCGUAUAAUUUAUUUAAAAAAAAAUAAAAUAAAUACAAUUAUUUAAACGUUUCCCACUUUCCUUUAUCCCGGUGUAAAAGUCAAUCAUCUAUCCGACCCGUCUUGAAACACGGACCAAGGAGUUUAACGUAUACGCGAGUCAUUGGGUGUUGAAAACCUAAAGGCGUAAUGAAAGUAAAUGUAUUUCUUUGAAAAUACAAAUAUGCGAUCCCAUAAAUUUCGAUUUAAGGGCGCAGCAUAGCCCCGUUUUUGUCGCAUGCGAUGGAGCGGAGGAAGAGCGUAUGCGUUGAGACCCGAAAGAUGGUGAACUAUGCCUGAGCAGGACGAAGCCAGAGGAAACUCUGGUGGAAGUCCGAAUCGGUUCUGACGUGCAAAUCGAUCGUCUGACUUGGGUAUAGGGGCGAAAGACUAAUCGAACUAUC